UCCCCGCAUGAGGGAUGACGGCCUUAGGCUUGUAGACCUUUUUAUCAUCACGAGGGAAAUAUCGGUGCUUGCAGAGAAGAGCCGCGUAAUACUUGCAGCAGCAGCGCUAUAUGUAGAGGGGCGAGCGUUAUCCUUGAGUUAUUGGGCGUAAAGAGCUCGUAGAGGUGUGUCGUGUCUCUGUGAAAUAAUCGAGGGUCUCAUCUGGGGUGCAGCGGUGAUGGCAGACUAGAGUGUAUAGAGGAGAGAGAGUUCUUGGUGUAGCGAGGAAUGCGCAGAUAUCAGGAGGAGCACAGAUGGCGAAGGCAGAUCUCUGGGCUGCAUUGACGCUGAGGAGCGAGAGGGUGGGGAGCAGCACACAGGAGAGACCUGGUAGUCCACCCCGUAAACGUUGGGAAAUAGUUGUGGGGUCCUAUCCACGGAUUCCGUGACGCAGCUAACGCAUUAAGUUCCCCGCCUGGGGGAGUACGGUCCGCAAGGUUAAAACUCAAAGGAAUGGAGGGGGACCCGCCCAAGCGGGGGAGCAUGGGGAUUAAUUGGAUGCAACGGGAAGACCCUUCCCAAUGCUGGCCAUACGCGAGAGCACCCUAGAAAUAGGGGCCUUCAUGGACACUGGUGAACAGGCGGUGCAUGGUUGUCGUUAGUUAGUUUCGUUAGAGGUUGGGUUAAGUCCCUCAACGAGCGCAACCCUCCUUCUACGUUGCCAGCCAGCAAUGGUGGGGGCUCUUGGGAGGGUGCCGGGGUCAUAUCGGAGGAAGGUGGGGAGGACGUCAAAUCAUCAUGCCCCCCAUGUCGGGGGCUUCACGCAUGCUACAAUGGCCGGUACAAAGGGGUGCAAUGCCGCGAGGUGGAGGGAAUCCCAAAAAGCCGGUCUCAGUUCGGAUUGAGGUCUGCACCUCGACCUCACAAAGUCGGAGUCUCUAUUAAUAUCAGAUCAGCACCGCUGCGGGGAAAACGUUCCCGGGUCUUGUACCCCCCCCCCGUCAAGUCCGAAAAUCGGUAACACCUGAAACCGGUGGCCCAACCCUAAGGAGCAGCCGUCCACGUGGUUCC
rnacentral:rRNA from 1 species